AACGAACGCUGGCGGCAUGCCUAACACAUGCAAGUCGAACGAUUGCCUUCGGGUGAUAGUGGCGCACGGGUGCGUAACGCGUGGGAAUCUGCCCUUAGGUUCGGAAUAACAGCUGGAAACGGCUGCUAAUACCGGAUGAUAUCGCGAGAUCAAAGAUUUAUCGCCUGAGGAUGAGCCCGCGUUGGAUUAGGUAGUUGGUGGGGUAAAGGCCUACCAAGCCGACGAUCCAUAGCUGGUCUGAGAGGAUGAUCAGCCACACUGGGACUGAGACACGGCCCAGACUCCUACGGGAGGCAGCAGUGGGGAAUAUUGGACAAUGGGCGCAAGCCUGAUCCAGCAAUGCCGCGUGAGUGAUGAAGGCCCUAGGGUUGUAAAGCUCUUCUACCCGGGAAGAUAAUGACUGUACCGGGAGAAUAAGCCCCGGCUAACUCCGUG
rnacentral:rRNA from 1 species